rnacentral:rRNA from 1 species
ACACUCCUGCGGGAGGCAGCAGUGGGGAAUAUUGGACAAUGGGCGCAAGCCUGAUCCAGCCAUGCCGCGUGAGUGAUGAAGGCCCUAGGGUUGUAAAGCUCUUUCACCGGAGAAGAUAAUGACGGUAUCCGGAGAAGAAGCCCCGGCUAACUUCGUGCCAGCAGCCGCGGUAAUACGAAGGGGGCUAGCGUUGUUCGGAAUUACUGGGCGUAAAGCGCACGUAGGCGGAUCGAUCAGUCAGGGGUGAAAUCCCAGGGCUCAACCCUGGAACUGCCUUUGAUACUGUCGAUCUGGAGUAUGGAAGAGGUGAGUGGAAUUCCGAGUGUAGAGGUGAAAUUCGUAGAUAUUCGGAGGAACACCAGUGGCGAAGGCGGCUCACUGGUCCAUUACUGACGCUGAGGUGCGAAAGCGUGGGGAGCAAACAGGAUUAGAUACCCGAGUAGUCCCAUGA